rnacentral:rRNA from 1 species
GACAGAGGGUGCAAACGUUGCUCGGAAUUACUGGGCGUAAAGCGCGUGUAGGUGGAUUGGUGUGUCAGAUGUGAAAUCCCUGGGCUCAACCCAGGAACUGCACCUGAAACUACCAGUCUUGAGUGGUGGAGAGGGAAGUGGAAUUCCUGGUGUAGAGGUGAAAUUCGUAGAUAUUCGGAAGAACACCAGUGGCGAAGGCGGCUCACUGGUCCGGUACUGACGCUGAGGUGCGAAAGCGUGGGGAGCAAACAGG